rnacentral:siRNA from 1 species
AUUGACAAGUGUGGAGAGGUUGCA